GCACAAGCGGUGGAGUAUGUGGUUUAAUUCGAUGCAACGCGAAGAACCUUACCUGGUCUUGACAUCCCAGAAAUCCCUUGGAAACUUGGGAGUGCUUUCCAUUAGGAAGAAUCUGGAGACAGGUGCUGCAUGGCUGUCGUCAGCUCGUGUCGUGAGAUGUUGGGUUAAGUCCCGCAACGAGCGCAACCCUUGCCUUUAGUUGCCAGCAGUUCGGCUGGGCACUCUAAAGGGACUGCCGGUGUUAAACCGGAGGAAGGUGGGGAUGACGUCAAGUCCUCAUGGCCUUUAUGACCAGGGCUACACACGUACUACAAUGGCCGAUACAAAGGGCAGCGACAUCGCGAGGUGAAGCCAAUCCCAUAAAAUCGGUCUCAGUCCGGAUUGGAGUCUGCAACUCGACUCCAUGAAGUUGGAAUCGCUAGUAAUCGUGGAUCAGCAUGCCACGGUGAAUACGUUCCCGGGCCUU
rnacentral:rRNA from 1 species